GACGAACCGAGCGAACGUUGUUCGGAAUCACUGGGCUUAAAGGGCGCGUAGGCGGGCUGCCAAGUCUGGGGUGAAAUCCUCUGGCUCAACCAGGGAAGUGCCUCGGAUACUGGCGGCCUCGAGGGGGGUAGGGGCGUGCGGAACUGUGGGUGGAGCGGUGAAAUGCGUUGAUAUCCACAGGAACUCCGGUGGCGAAGGCGGCACGCUGGACCCUCUCUGACGCUGAGGCGCGAAAGCCAGGGGAGCGAGCGGG
rnacentral:rRNA from 1 species